CGCGGCCUAUCAGCUUGUUGGUGAGGUAAAGGCUCACCAAGGCAUCGACGGGUAGCUGGUCUGAGAGGACGAUCAGCCACACUGGGACUGAGAUACGGCCCAGACUCCUACGGGAGGCAGCAGUAGGGAAUCUUGCGCAAUGGGCGAAAGCCUGACGCAGCAACGCCGCGUGGGGGAAGAAGGCUCUAGGGUCGUAAACCCCUUUCAGCAGGGACGAAAAUGACGGUACCUGCAGAAGAAGCGCCGGCCAACUACGUGCCAGCAGCCGCGGUAAUACGUAGGGCGCAAGCGUUGUCCGGAUUUAUUGGGCGUAAAGGGCUCGUAGGCGGUUUGGUAAGUCGGGUGUGAAAACUCAGGGCUCAACUCUGAGGCGCCACUCGAUACUGCCAUGACUAGAGUCCGGUAGGGGAGUGCGGAAUUCCUGGUGUAGCGGUGAAAUGCGCAGAUAUCAGGAGGAACACCAACAGCGAAGGCAGCACUCUGGGCCGGUACUGACGCUGAGGAGCGAAAGCGUGGGGAGCAAACAGGAUUAGAUACCCUGGUAGUCCACGCCGUAAACGUUGGGCACUAGGUGUGGGUCCCAUCUAACGGGAUCCGCGCCGCAGCUAACGCAUUAAGUGCCCCGCCUGGGGAGUACGG
rnacentral:rRNA from 1 species